rnacentral:rRNA from 1 species
AUAGUUUGAUCCUGCUCAGGAUGAACGCUGGCGGCGUGCCUAAUACAUGCAAGUCGAGCGAGAAUCUGAUGAUUGGAGAUUCGUCAAAGAGAAUCAGAGGAAAGCGGCGGACGGGUGAGUAACGCGUAGGCAACCUGCCCUUAGCAGAGGGAUAGCCAUUGGAAACGAUGAUUAAAACCUCAUAAUGCUGCAAGAGCACAUGCUCAUGCAGCCAAAGAUUUAUCGGCUAAGGAUGGGCCUGCGUCUGAUUAACUAGUUGGUGGGGUAACGGCUCACCAAGGUGACGAUCAGUAGCCGACCUGAGAGGGUGAUCGGCCACAUUGGAACUGAGACACGGUCCAAACUUC